GAUGAACGCUGGCGGCGUGCCUAACACAUGCAAGUCGAGCGUGAUUAAGUGGAGUGAGGACUUCGGUCUGAGUGAAACUUAUGAAAGCGGCGGACGGGUGAGUAACGCGUGGGCAACCUGCCCCAUACAAAGGGAUAGCCACUGGAAACGGUGAUUAAUACCUUAUAAGUCGGUAGUCUCGCAUGAGAUAGCCGACAAAGAUUUAUCGGUAUGGGAUGGGCCCGCGUCUGAUUAGCUAGUUGGUGAGGUAACGGCUCACCAAGGCGACGAUCAGUAGCCGACCUGAGAGGGUGAUCGGCCACACUGGAACUGAGACACGGUCCAGACUCCUACGGGAGGCAGCAGUGGGGAAUAUUGCACAAUGGGCGCAAGCCUGAUGCAGCAACGCCGCGUGAGUGAAGAAGGCCUCGGUGUAAACUACUGUCUAUGGAAGAACGAAAUAGACGGUACCAUGGAGGAAGCCCGGCGUAACUACGUGCCAGCAGCCGG
rnacentral:rRNA from 1 species